rnacentral:tRNA from 1 species
GCCCGGGUGGCGGAAUUGGUGAUACGCGGCAGACUUAAAAUCUGCUGGCCGAAAGGCCGUGUGGGUUCGAGUCCCACCCCGGGUA